CCUACGGGUGGCAGCAGUGAGGAAUAUUGGUCAAUGGACGCAAGUCUGAACCAGCCAUGCCGCGUGCAGGAAGACGGCUCUAUGAGUUGUAAACUGCUUUUGUACGAGGGUAAACUGAGAUACGUGUAUGGGUCUGAAAGUAUCGUACGAAUAAGGAUCGGCUAACUCCGUGCCAGCAGCCGCGGUAAUACGGAGGAUUCGAGCGUUAUCCGGAUUUAUUGGGUUUAAAGGGUGCGUAGGCUGUUGGAUAAGUUAGAGGUGAAAUACCGAGGCUCAACAUCGGAAUUGCCUCUGAUACUGUUCGGCUAGAGAGUAGUUGCAGUAGGCGGAAUGUAUGGUGUAGCGGUGAAAUGCUUAGAGAUCACACAGAACACCGAUUGCGAAGGCAGCUUACCAGGCUACAUCUGACGUUGAGGCACGAAAGCGUGGGGAGCAAACAGGAUUAGAUACCCUAGUAGUC
rnacentral:rRNA from 1 species